rnacentral:rRNA from 1 species
UACGUAGGCAGCAAGCGUUGUUCGGAGUUACUGGGCGUAAAGGGUGUGUAGGCGGUUGGAUAAGUGUGGUGUGAAAUCUCCCGGCUUAACUGGGAGGGUGCGCUACAAACUGUCUGACUAGAGUAUGGGAUGGGAGAGUGGGAUUCCUGGUGUAGCGGUGAAAUGCGUAGAUAUCAAGAGGAACACCUGAGGUGAAGACGGGUUGCUGGGCCGACACUGACGCUGAAGCGCGAAAGCCAGGGGAGCAAACGGG